rnacentral:rRNA from 1 species
AAGGCGAAAGCUAGGGGAGCGAACGGGAUUAGAAACCCCGAUAGUCCUAGCCGUAAACGAUGGAUGCCGGCUGUGGGGGGUAUAGAUUCACCUCAGGGCCCGAAGCUUACGCGUUAAGCAUCCGGCCUGGGGACUACGGCCGCAAGGCUAAAACUCAAACGAAGUGACGGGUCCCCGCACAAGCAGCGGAGCGCGUGGUCCAAUUCGAUGCUACACCGAAGAACCUUACCUGGGUUUGACAUGCAAGUAGUAGUGAAGCGAAAGCGGAUACGACCGUUCUGGGGAGCUUGCACAGGUGCUGCAUGGCCAUCGUCAGCUCGUGCCGUGAGGUGUCGGGUUAAGUCCCGUAACGAGCGCAACCCUUGCCCUCAGUGUAUACGUGUCUAAGGGGACUGCCCGGGACAAAUGGGAGGAAGGUGGGGAUGACGUCAUAGUCAGCAUGGCCUUUAUAUGCAGGGCGACACAUACGCUACAAUGGCCGGUACAAUGGAUUGCCAAGCCGUGAGGCGGAGCCAAUCCCGCAAAGCUGGUCUAAGUUCGGAUUGUGGGACUGCAACUCGCCCACAUGAAGCUGGAGUGGCUAGUAGCCGCGCGUCAGCCAUAGUGCGGUGAAUACGUUCCCGGGGAUGUACACACCGCCCGUCACGU